UACAGAGGCCUCAAGCGUUAAUCGGAAUUACUGGGCGUAAAGCGCACGUAGGCGGUUUGUUAAGCAAGAUGUGAAAGCCCAGGGCUCAACCUUGGAAUUGCAUUUUGAACUGGCAAGCUAGAGUUUUGAAGAGGGUGGUAGAAUUUCCAGUGUAGCGGUGAAAUGCGUAGAUAUUGGAAGGAAUACCAGUGGCGAAGGCGGCCACCUGGUCAAAAACUGACGCUGAGGAGCGAAAGCGUGGGGAGCGAACAGG
rnacentral:misc_RNA from 1 species